rnacentral:lncRNA from 1 species
UAUAUAUAUAUAUAUAUAAUACACAUCACAAAGCAGAGGAGGUCUUCUUCACGAUUUCCACCCCAGAGAACAACACCUAGGAUACACCAUUUUCUUAUACUUUUCUUCUUGAAUCGCACACGCACGCACACUAGAUCGGGACGCGAAAAAAGAAGAAGGGGUAGGGAGAUCGAGAGAGUGAUAUAGAAAUAGAAGGAUAGAGAUCAAAAGAGAGCUAAGGCAAAAAAAAAUCUAGAUAAAAAACGGAGAGACAUGAGAGAUAGUGAAUUCCGAUUAGGUUUUGAGUUUUUCCGGCGGGUUUUCUCUAGCUUUCGGCAAAAAAAUUUCGCCGGAAUUAGCUCCAAUUUCAAAUCUGUUCAGCGGGCUACUUCCGAUAUCAAGUUGGUUUGGUUCGUCGUCGAGAUUCUCCAUUCGGGCUUUUGGAUUUGGUUUUCUUGAAUAUUGUUAUCAACGUAAUCGAUUAUUCGAAGGUCCAUUCCUAAACUCUCUCUCUCUUUAUUAUUUUUAAUGUGGCUAUGAUGUGAUCUUUGGUGAUGUGGUUUUAAAUCUUUAGUAGUAUUAAUUGUAUUGUGAGGUAUGAAUGAUUCAUGUUCUUAAUGUUUGAAUCCUCGUUGAGUGGAUAUGUUUGGUGUUGGUUUUGGACUUUGAGUAGUGAUUUGAACUAAAGAAUUUAUUGACCUUCGGUUAAAAACGAAUUCGGGAUUGGGAUCAUGAUAUGAUAACAGAUGAAUACAAAUUAGUAGUUUUGAUUCAUUAUUAUUGUUGUUGACUCCUUGAUAGUAUCAUGAUAGGUCAAGCGGGGUAGGCCAAUGUAGAUUUGGUAAGCAAAAUCUAGGAUUAAAUUUUUGGUUGAUGGUUUGAAUAUAGAAUGUGUGUUGAAUGUUUUCUAGUGUGUCGUGUUUAAUUCAAAUGUAUCCAUUUAGUCGGGGAAUGCCCCGUGAUCACUUGUAUUUAUUCGUCGGGGAAUGCACCGAAGUAUUUUGUAUUUGAAGGACGUCCGUGAUGAAGGCCUGAGGUAUCGGGUAGCAUGGGAGCGUAGUUAGGAUUAGUAUAGGUUAGAUAGGAUUUACAUUUCCGCAUUUUUUUAAUUUCGGAUUGUAUAAUUUGGACUGAACAUUAUAUUUUCGGAAUUUUUUUUAGUUUGUAUUUGUUUGGUUGGUUGUUGUGUGUUUAUGUGGUUUAUAUCUUCUUAGUGCCAAAACUAGUCGAUACGCGCCACCAAGAGACCGUGGUCAAACCACGGGAUCGAGGGGUGCCUAACACCUUCCCCUCGGUCAACAGAAUUCCUUAGCCGGAAUCUCUGUUCGCGGAUCAGUUUUAAAGUGUCAAACUCGUUUUGAAAAGGGAUAUCCAAGGGCGACUUGGCACACCCGAUUUAUGCCAAGUGGUAACUCUGAGUUUUGAAUAUAAAAGGUCCUUUUUUGGAAAUAAUUUUCAAUCUUUUGUCACUUUAAUAAUAAAACCCUUUCGAAACUUAAACUUGAAAUCUUUUUGAUUGUAAAAAGGGGUGUGACAAUUUUUUGCUUGCAGUUAAUUUUCAGCGUUAACGAAAAUUUGUUGCGAACAAGGAGUUUCAUAGGAAUGGAAACUGGAGUUUUAGAUUGAAUUAAUAAACAGAUGAUUUUUUUUUUUUUAGAUUAAUAAAUGAAAUUUUUACAAAAUUAAUAAAUGGAUGAAAUUUUUAUUUCAUAAACUAAUUAAUAAAUUGGAGUUUUACAAAAUUAAUAAACGGAUGAUUUUUUUUUUUUUAAAUUAGAAGUAAUGGAGGAAGAGGGAUAUAAAUAGGGAGAGGGAUAAUUGAAGGUUUUGAAAAAAUUAAAGGAAAGUAUAUUUUUUUUGUUUUUUUUAUCAUUAAAAAUGCUAAUUUAGCAUAAAAAUACCUCUAUCACGCGCGUGAUGGAGGUUGAACUCAAACAAUUUGCCACAUCAGCGUAAAAGGGGCACACGACAUACUAAAGAACAAGUUCAGGGCUACUUAGGAUUAGUCAAAGUUCAGAUGUAUCAUAAAUAAAACUUGACAAAUUCAGAUAAUCAUACUUCUCUCCUCUCUUUUAUGUGUCCUAAUUAUAUCCAAGCAUUUUAUGAUUCUAUUACUAUGUAUUCACACGUACGUCAAAGCAAAAUUAUUCACUAAGCUCAUUUUUAACUUAGAUUAAUUAUAAAAAUCGACGAUGUUUUACGCAGAAGGAGAAAGAGGGGGACAACGAAGAAGAUGAAGAUAUAAUUUGAUAGUUUUAUUGGUUUAUUUAAGAAUAUUCACGCCUAAAAAAGAAACAUGACUUUUGAUUGAGACGAAUAAGUAAUUUAUUCAGAAUAUUAUGUUAUGAUAAUGUAACUUGAUAGAUUUAAUGCUUUCAAAUUAAUAAGGAAAAAACUCAACAAUAUAUGUUUCUUAAUUGAAAAAACACAAUAACAACUUAUCAAGAACUUCAUAACUUGAUAGUUUUGAUGCUCUCGAGGUUCGAAUAGAAGAAUAAUCCAAGAGUAAUACUUUUUUUUUUUAAGUACUCCCUCCGCUUCCAAAAGAAUGACCUGGUUUGAUUUAGUAUAAAUUUUUUAAAAAAUAAAGAACACUUUGAAUCUUGUGGCCUUGAAUUAAAGUUGUGUCAAAUAUACUAAAAUGCCCUUUAAUCUUAUGAUCCUAAACAUGCCAUGUGAAAAGUUGAAAUUAAAGUAUGAUCAAAAAACGAAAAUAAGUCAUUCUCUUUCUUAAACGGACUAAAAAGGACAGCAAGGCAUUUCUUUUUUUUUUUUUGUUUUAAAAGGAGGGAGUAUUGAGCAAGUAUUGCAUGAACUAGGCUUUCCACAGAAAAUGUCAAAUUGGAUUUGCUAUGAAUUAUCUCAAUAGAUUUUGCUAUCCAUCCUAGAUGCACGUACACAUCUGUGUUUUGUAAAUGAGUUGUUAUUAUUUGCUAGAGGUGAUAUAAAAUCAUUCAUAAGCUUAAAAAAGAGGUUUGACAUGUUCUGGGCAGCCUCAGGUUUGAAAGCAAAUUGGAAUACGAGAAGGGUGAGAGCGUAUAUGUCAACCUAGAAGAUCGAGCAGGUUGACUAAACUAAUCAACCUCAAAAUAUAUAAUCAAUCAAGCAGCAAUAUGUAAGAUGUUUGGUCUGCAAAAAGACAGAUUGUGGAUUGCUUCGGUUCAUCAUUACUACAUAAAGAGGCAAAAUAUCUUUGAAAUAAUCAUUUUGCUGGAUGAUUAGGAAGAUUUGUACAAUGAGGAAGACGUGGCCAAGGGCCAAGGCUAGCUAGGAGAUAUACAACUGAUUGUAAACAAAGAGAAGUUUAUGAUAGCUAAAGCUUAUAAUAAGAAGACAGAGGUGCAAUGGACAACAUUCUUUGGAUCAAGCUAAUUUGUCACAAUAUAUGCCGCAGAACCUAAACAUGUAUUUGUGUUGUGGCUGAGCAUGCAUGGCAAGACAAGGACUAAGGACAAGCUGUUGAAAUGGGGCUUAAGUGUAGACACUGAUUAUGUAUUCUGUCAGUCACAUCUAGAAAUCACCUAUUCUUUCUAUGUAGAAUGACCGGCAAAUCAUGGAGUGAUGCCUUGGUGGCAAGUCUGGAAAGAUUGUCUAACUGACUGGAAAAGAAUGUGGCAAUAGGUGAAGUUGAGAACAAGAGAUUCAUACUCAAGAGGGAUUAUCUUGAAGGCUAGCUUGACAACAACUGUGCAUACUAUCUGGAUAGAGAGGAAUAAAAGGGGUAUCUCAGAAAGAAAGCACUACAAAUCUACAAUGGAGGAGUUGGUUCGAGCUCUCAAAGUGAUGUUAUGCAUUAGAGUUCGACAAAAUUCUAAAAUGUUUACAUGCAUGAUGCAUCAGUAGCUUUUGAGUUUAGUUGAUAUAGAAUUUUGUGAUUUUUUGUAGCUAACGGGAGUAGAAUAACUUUUGAGAAGGGGUUGAUGGUGUUGUGUCACCCCUUAGCUUUAUAAUUUUGUCACUUCGUAAUUAAUAAAGUGAGUUUAAUU